ensembl:ncRNA lncRNA:CR44023 long non-coding RNA:CR44023
UGGAUACUAGUGCUCUGAGAGACUGGAACUAAACGAGAGAGCUCAUUGAAAUUCGAAAUGCGCAUGUGACACGCAACUACAGUAAAAAUUCAACAUGUCAGAAAUAUCUACCAAGCCCAAUAGCUUGAUGACAAUAUUAAUUCGCCUAACUAAAAGGAACUCGGAAGUUUUUAUAUUAAAAAACACAUUUUAUGGCAAAAACUAUAGAUCAAUCAAGGUGUGAAUGCACAAAAUUUUUUUUAAAAAAUACUAUAUUAGUUUAAAAUUAAGCAACAUGUACAAAGAACAGUUCCCUAUUCCAUAAGAAAGGAAAUGGCCGUAUCCGUUUAGAAGGUUGAUUUUAAGUACGUAGUUUCUUAGAAUGUCGAAUUUGUGCAAGUUCGUUUCCGAAGAUUCCACUCCUCCUCUGAAGUCCUAAAAAGGUUUUUUGUUUGUUGAAAUUAGUCAAUAUGGCGAAAUAAAUUUUUUGGUCAUCGAGUUCAAAGACUCUCAGAUUCCAGUAAUUAAUUUUUCUGGAAUAUCGAUAGAAAUUGGGGAAUGAAAUAAAAACAUUCAAAAAUGGGCGUUAGAGUGCCCAGUGCAAAAACUUGUUUGGCACAUUGAUGGAAAAGGCGGUUUGUGUGCGUACAUUUGGAACAUUUGGAAUCUUCCUUUCUAAUCUCAACUCUCCUGCUUUAAUAGUUCCUGAGAUCGAAAGACUUCGCCAGAUCAACUCGACUAUUGAUCUUGAUCAGUAAUACGUUUUUUUUUGUUCGAAACGCUUCCUUCAACAUGUUACACACAUUUCAACGAACAUAGUACACCCCCAUAUUAUAAGUGGUGACCAUAAAGGCCUUGGUUAUUGGAUGAAAUGAAUGUCAACUUCUUGUAAAAAGAGCGAUUUUACCCUAUAAACCCGAUCAAGACCGAUAGACUUUUAUUGAUUUGGAAUAAAGUUUUUCUCGCUUUUGAGAUGAAGAUAUUUUGCGUCGAAAUAAUUGGAUUAAAGAAAUCCCAAAUGCAUUUGGGAUGGGAUAGUUGACUUCCGCGUCUAUCAGAUUACGCUUACUGAGGGAGGAUAGAUAGAGAGGCAGGUUACAGACGGCGAGGGAGGACGAAAAGCGAGACUUCACGAGUGAGGGCAAGGCGGCAGGAAAAGCAAGAAAGCAAGAUACAAAGACUGACCUGCACAAACGGAAAAACCGUGGACAUUGGAGACGCCGAAGAUUAACGUUUAAAGUGGGCCCAUUUAAGCAUUUCAAAGACUAAAUAGCCAGUCAUCAUGAAUCAAUUGAAAGGCAGAAUCCGGAUAGGUACGACACUAGUAAAGACCAAACCAUGGCAUUGACCCGGCGAGUCCAGUCCUAAAAUAAACCCCUGCGCGUGUCAGGACUGUGCUUAUGGCCUUGUCAAAUGUUUUAGGAAUUGAUGCCAGGAGCGUUCAUAAAAACUGAAUAUGCGUGGUACCGGCAAGACCAGUCGGAGCAAAUGUGGGGCUAACGUGUUGUUGUUACGCUCGGCGGAAGCCUAGAAAACGCUGCCAUAUUGUUACCUUAUGUCCGUAUCCAACAGAAAAUCCGUUGAAACGCAGCGCACAAUAACUUUACAUUUAAAUUUUGGGAGUGGCUGUGUGUGUUCAAAAAGUAGUUCGGCAAACAAGGCUAACAACAAAU